AGUGAACGCUGGCGGUAGGCCUAACACAUGCAAGUCGAACGGCAGCACAGUAAGAGCUUGCUCUUACGGGUGGCGAGUGGCGGACGGGUGAGGAAUACAUCGGAAUCUACUUUUUCGUGGGGGAUAACGUAGGGAAACUUACGCUAAUACCGCAUACGACCUACGGGUGAAAGCAGGGGAUCUUCGGACCUUGCGCGAUUGAAUGAGCCGAUGUCGGAUUAGCUAGUUGGCGGGGUAAAGGCCCACCAAGGCGACGAUCCGUAGCUGGUCUGAGAGGAUGAUCAGCCACACUGGAACUUGGACACGGUCCCGACUCCUAAGGGAGGCAGCAGUGGGGAAUAUUGGACAAUGGGCGCAAGCCUGAUCCAGCCAUACCGCGUGGGUGAAGAAGGCCUUCGGGUUGUAAAGCCCUUUUGUUGGGAAAGAAAAGCAGCAGGUUAAUACCCCGCUGUUCUGACGGUACCCAAAGAAUAAGCACCGGCUAACUUCGUG
rnacentral:rRNA from 1 species